CCUACGGGAGACAGCAGUAAGGAAUCUUCGUCAAUGGGCGCGAGCCUGAACCAGCCACGUCGCGUGAAUGAUGACUGCCCUCCGAGCUGUAAACUUCUUUUAUAAAGGAGUAAGGUGGGGAAAGUGUGUCUUUAUGUUUGUACUUUAUGUAUCCGGAUAGGCUAACUCAGUGCCAGCCGACGCGGUAAUACGGAGGAUCCGAGCGUUAUCUGGAUUUAUUGGGUUUAAAGGGAACGUAGCUGGGUUGUUAAGUCAGUUGUGAAAGUUUGCGGCUCAACCGUAAAAUUGCAAUUGAUACUGGCAGUCUUGAGUACAGAAGAGGUAGGCGGAAUUCGAGGUGUAGCGGUGAAAUGCUUAGAUAGAACGAAGAACUCCGAUGGCGAAGGCAGCUUACUAAUCUGCCACUGACAUUGAGGCUCGAAAGCGUGGGUAUCAAACAGGAUUAGAUACCCUGGUAGUC
rnacentral:rRNA from 1 species